rnacentral:tRNA from 1 species
GCCGAUGUAGCUCAAUGGUAGAGCAGCUGAUUCGUAAUCAGCAGGUUGAGGGUUCGAAUCCCUCCAUCGGCU